AGAGUUUGAUCCUGGCUCAGAAUGAACGCUGGCGGCGUGCUUAGCACAUGCAAGUCGCACGAGAACGCUUCAGCUUGCUGGAGCUAGUAAAGUGGCGUACGGGUGAGUAACGCGUGGGUAAUCUAUCUCUGAAUUGGGGAUAACAUUGCGAAAGCGAUGCUAAUACCGGAUAAUAUCCAUUAAGCCUCGGUUUUUUUGGAUCAAAGGUGGCCUCUACAUGUAAGCUACUGUUCGGAGACGAGCCCGCGUACCAUUAGCUUGUUGGUAGGGUAAUGGCCUACCAAGGCAACGAUGGUUAGCUGGUCUGAGAGGAUGAUCAGCCACACUGGAACUGACACACGGUCCAGACUCCUACGGGAGGCAGCAGUGAGGAAUUUUGCGCAAUGGGGGGAACCCUGACGCAGCAACGCCGCGUGAGUGAUGAAGGCUUUCGGGUCGUAAAGCUCUGUCAAGUGGGAAGAACCCGUGCCGCACAAAUAGUGCGGUGCGCUGACGGUACCACUGAAGGAAGCACCGGCUAACUCCGUGCCAGCAGCCGCGGUAAUACGGGGGGUUCAAGCGUUAUUCGGAAUCAUUGGGCGUAAAGAGCGCGUAGGCGGUCUUCUAUGUCAGGUGUGAAAGCCCGGGGCUCAACCCCGGAAGUGCACUUGAAACUGGGAGACUUGAGUAUGGGAGAGGGAAGUGGAAUUCCUGGUGUAGCGGUGAAAUGCGUAGAUAUCAGGAGGAACACCGGUGGCGAAGGCGACUUCCUGGACCAAUACUGACGCUGAGGCGCGAAGGCGUGGGGAGCAAACAGGAUUAGAUACCCUGGUAGUCCACGCCGUAAACGAUGAGUGCUAGACGUCGGGAAGCUUGCUUUUCGGUGUCGCAGCUAACGCAUUAAGCACUCCGCCUGGGGAGUACGGCCGCAAGGUUAAAACUCAAAGGAAUUGACGGGGGCCCGCACAAGCGGUGGAGCAUGUGGUUUAAUUCGAUGCAACGCGAAGAACCUUACCAGCUCUUGACAUGCUAGGUUUCGGAUUCGAGAGAUCGAUUCUUUCAGUUCGGCUGGGCCUAGCACAGGUGCUGCAUGGCUGUCGUCAGCUCGUGUCGUGAGAUGUUGGGUUAAGUCCCGCAACGAGCGCAACCCUCAUCUUCAGUUGCCAUCAGGUCAAGCUGGGCACUCUGAAGAAACUGCCGGUGACAAGCCGGAGGAAGGUGGGGAUGACGUCAAGUCCUCAUGGCCCUUACGGGCUGGGCUACACACGUGCUACAAUGACGGUGACAGUGGGAUGCGAUGGCGCGAGCCGGAGCGAAUCUCCAAAAGCCGUCUCAGUUCGGAUUGCACUCUGCAACUCGGGUGCAUGAAGUUGGAAUCGCUAGUAAUCGUGGAUCAGCAUGCCACGGUGAAUACGUUCCCGGGCCUUGUACACACCGCCCGUCACACCAUGGGAGUUGGUUUUACCUUAAGACGGUGCGCUAACCGCAAGGAGGCAGCCGGCCACGGUAAGGUCAGCGACUGGGGUGAAGUCGUAACAAGGUA
rnacentral:rRNA from 1 species